CAGUCGCCGCGGUAAUACGAAGGGUGCAAGCGUUACUCGGAAUUACUGGGCGUAAAGCGUGCGUAGGCGGUUGUGUAAGACAGGUGUGAAAUCCCCGGGCUUAACCUGGGAACUGCGCUUGUGACUGCACAGCUAGAGUAUGGCAGAGGGGGGUGGAAUUCCACGUGUAGCAGUGAAAUGCGUAGAGAUGUGGAGGAACACCGAUGGCGAAGGCAGCCCCCUGGGCCAAUACUGACGCUCAUGCACGGAAGCGUGGGGAGCAAACAGGAUUAGAUACCCCUGUAGUCCCUGUCUCUUAUAC
rnacentral:rRNA from 1 species